UUUGGUUCUAAUUAUUAACAAGUUUUCAGAUUGUUAUAUGUAAAAGAUUAACCAUAUACAUAUAUAAUUUGAUUUUAGUAUCUUGAUAAUAAAUCAUUAGUCUCAUAAAGAAUAAACUGAAUUGAUAUUUCUUCAACUAGAAUCUUUUCAUUCUAUACGCAUUGCUUGAUGAAUGAUAUCCAAGGAUAGAAAUAUCUUUAUCAGAUUUGGCAUUAUUUUCAAAAGACCAUAUCAAGCAUAUCAUAAGCUACUGAAAAAUAUGAAAGAUAUGCAAUAGAUCAUUUUCUAUUUUUCAGAAGAUCAAAUAGAGUUUUCAUCAAUUAUAGACCUAAUAAAAACCAUAUAUAUGACAAGCAAUGAUGAUAGCUUUUAACAAAUCAUUUAAGUAGAUGACUAUCAUACAACAUUGCCUUCUUCAUUUCUUCAAGGAUUCUAUUGAUCCUAUUUUACUUAUAGUGUUCUUGGUGCAGAA
rnacentral:lncRNA from 1 species